UACGUAGGGUGCGAGCGUUGUCCGGAAUUAUUGGGCGUAAAGAGCUCGUAGGCGGUCUGUCGCGUCUGCUGUGAAAACCCGAGGCUCAACCUCGGGCCUGCAGUGGGUACGGGCAGACUAGAGUGCGGUAGGGGAGAUUGGAAUUCCUGGUGUAGCGGUGGAAUGCGCAGAUAUCAGGAGGAACACCGGUGGCGAAGGCGGGUCUCUGGGCCGAAACUGACGCUGAGGAGCGAAAGCGUGGGGAGCAAACAGG
rnacentral:rRNA from 1 species